CUUAAUCGCGCCGGUGUGUCCGCACGCGUUUCUCUGGCAACCCUCGUGUAUUUUUGGUUGAAAUUGUCAGACAUCGAAAUUAGUAAUAAGAAAUUAAUUUCAUCUUUACGCGGUUAUCGACAUUUUUGUUGUAAAUUCGAGGUGCGUUGUGUUACAUCUCUGGAGAAUUGAAUUCGUUCAAUCGCUACAAUCUAGCAUCUACGGUACGUGCUUGCUGCAAACUGCGGAGGACAUCAGUUGGAGUUCGCCAUCGUUUCGCUGCAAUAGCCUUUGAGUUCCAAAGGCCGAGUCACGAGAAUUUGAUUCGCUUAGUCGGUCGACUCCCGAUUUAAAAUAAAAUAAACAUUGACACCCCUUCCCGCAUUUCCUCUUAACAAUGUAAUUUAUUUCACAGAUUUUAUCAUCUUCAGCAUUAGUCCUGAGUGUUGCAACGAGUGAAAUACUGGUAUGUGUUGUUGGAUGAAGCAUUGGCAAAUCCAGAGAUGGCCAAGUUUAUCAAUAAGGGCCGACUGGAGAAGUACCGUGGUACUGGUGCAGUUCAUAUUGAGGUUGAUGUUUUGAUUACUGAAGAUGGAUGUGUCAACUGGAUUAAAGUUCCAAGAACGUUGUCCAAAAAAUUGAAGAUUGGAUUGCCGGGGUUGAUGAUGGUUCCAUAUACGAUUGAAUGAAUUUACAACAUUUUGAAUCUGUUAUUGAUAUCAUUUUUGUUUAUUUUGUUAAGUUAUAAAAAGAGCAUUAUAUAAUUGCAUACUAUUAUUCUGUUUUCUUGCUUGUAUUGUUAAAAAUGCUGUAUAUAUUGAGAAAUUGAGUUUGUGAUGGGUGUAUAUUCUACAUGUUUGAAUAAAAUUGUAGUUUUAUAUUUUUAACUAUAAA